CGGAGCUUGCUCUGCUGGAUCAGUGGCGAACGGGUGAGUAACACGUGAGCAAUCUGCCCCUGACUCUGGGAUAAGCGCUGGAAACGGCGUCUAAUACCGGAUACGAGCUGCGAAGGCAUCUUCAGCAGCUGGAAAGAACUUCGGUCAGGGAUGAGCUCGCGGCCUAUCAGCUAGUUGGUGAGGUAACGGCUCACCAAGGCGUCGACGGGUAGCCGGCCUGAGAGGGUGACCGGCCACACUGGGACUGAGACACGGCCCAGACUCCUACGGGAGGCAGCAGUGGGGAAUAUUGCACAAUGGGCGAAAGCCUGAUGCAGCAACGCCGCGUGAGGGACGACGGCCUUCGGGUUGUAAACCUCUUUUAGCAGGGAAGAAGCGAAAGUGACGGUACCUGCAGAAAAAGCGCCGGCUAACUACGUGCCAGCAGCCGCGGUAAUACGUAGGGCGCAAGCGUUAUCCGGAAUUAUUGGGCGUAAAGAGCUCGUAGGCGGUUUGUCGCGUCUGCUGUGAAAACCCGAGGCUCAACCUCGGGCCUGCAGUGGGUACGGGCAGACUAGAGUGCGGUAGGGGAGAUUGGAAUUCCUGGUGUAGCGGUGGAAUGCGCAGAUAUCAGGAGGAACACCGAUGGCGAAGGCAGAUCUCUGGGCCGUAACUGACGCUGAGGAGCGAAAGGGUGGGGAGCAAACAGGCUUAGAUACCCUGGUAGUC
rnacentral:rRNA from 1 species